ACAAGUGUCCUGUAAACUGCAGAACUGUCAAAUUUUACAUAAACGAUAUCUAAUUAGUGAAAUUAUUAAUUCGUAUUAAAGUUAUUGCAAUAAAAACGUGAAUUUCUCUUCUAAAAGGUGAGAAAAUUGUGAAUAUUAUUCCGAUCCAUAAUGGUUGUGUUUGCUGCUUGCAAAAUUAUAAUAGUCGAACUACGCUUUCUUGAAAAUUUAAUACAACUCGGAUCAAUUAGAAAAAGGAUAUUGCGCAAAAAAAAAAAAAAAUUGAAGAAGAAUCGUGUUUUGGUUUUUCAAGUGUGCAAUUAGUGGAACGUUAGCUGAAUUACGAAGACGAAGAAAGUUCUGGACAUUGCGAUGUCCAAGAAAGUUAAAUUCGUUAACAAAAAGAGCUGGUCCCUUGCAAUGAAUGGCUUUACCCUCAAGAAAAUUGCCCUUCGGGAAAAAAAAAUUACUUCGAUCUAAUGUCUGCUGAAUACCAAUGAAAAUAACGAAAAUGGUAAAUUUUUUUCUAAUUUAUUAUUUAGAUUAUUUUAGUUUUAAUUUUAUUUCCUAAAAAUCAA